GUCUCUGUAGCGCAAUGGAGAGCGCGUUGGACUUAUAAUCCAAAGGUCGUUGCUCGAAACCCACCUGGGAUG